rnacentral:rRNA from 1 species
GCAGAAAAUUAAAAUUUUACCAACAAACCUUAAAGAAAAUUUUCACUAUAUAAAGUAUUUUUUAAAAAAUUCCUAAAUUAACCAACCGCAAGGAACAACAUUCAGCUUUCUCAAGAAAUGAUAACCUCAUGUCCCUCUUGCAUCAUGGAGAAGCAACAAAACUAUAAUAACUUAUAUUCCCGAAUGAUUAUGAGCUACUAAACCCUAAAAAUCAAUGUUUCAUAAUUGAUAUAGUAACUUUUAGUAGAAGUAACAAGCCUUUCAUAUAAUCAUAUAGCUGGUUUUUCUUCAAAAGCAUCAAAGUGCUGGCUUAUAGAAUAAGCCCAGAGCCUCUAACCUAUAAAGCUUAACCUAUUGAGGACUAGCUCAAUAGGGCAUAAAAAAUAUUUUAUCCCUAAUCCCCACAAGUAGGCUUAAAAGCAGCCACCUAAUAACGUUUUAGUUAUUGAGAAUUUAUAUUAAGUAUUAAUACAACACAAUUUUAAAACUAAAGAAAUUUAACAAAAAAUUUUUCUGUUACUAAACAGGCAUUCUAUUAGUAUUUAAUAUAAGUCUAUUACUCAACAUUCCUCAAAAAAUUUGAAUCAAA